rnacentral:piRNA from 1 species
UCCUUGAACGAAGAUGAAAAGUGCAGUCAGU